CAGUCGCCGCGGUAAUACGUAGGGUGCAAGCGUUAAUCGGAAUUACUGGGCGUAAAGCGCGCGUAGGCGGUUACUCAAGUCAGAGGUGAAAGCCCGGGGCUCAACCCCGGAACUGCCUUUGAAACUAGGUGACUAGAAUCUUGGAGAGGUCAGUGGAAUUCCGAGUGUAGAGGUGAAAUUCGUAGAUAUUCGGAAGAACACCAGUGGCGAAGGCGACUGACUGGACAAGUAUUGACGCUGAUGCACGAAAGCUAGGGGAGCAAACAGGAUUAGAUACCCCUGUAGUCCCUGUCUCUUAUAC
rnacentral:rRNA from 1 species